GAUGAACGCUGGCGGCGUGCCUAAUACAUGCAAGUCGAGCGAACAGACGAGGAGCUUGCUCCUCUGACGUUAGCGGCGGACGGGUGAGUAACACGUGGAUAACCAACCUAUAAGACUGGGAUAACUUCGGGAAACCGGAGCUAAUACCGGAUAAUAUAUUGAACCGCAUGGUUCAAUAGUGAAAGACGGUUUUGCUGUCACUUAUAGAUGGAUCCGCGCCGCAUUAGCUAGUUGGUAAGGUAACGGCUUACCAAGGCAACGAUGCGUAGCCGACCUGAGAGGGUGAUCGGCCACACUGGAACUGAGACACGGUCCAGACUCCUACGGGAGGCAGCAGUAGGGAAUCUUCCGCAAUGGGCGAAAGCCUGACGGAGCAACGCCGCGUGAGUGAUGAAGGUCUUCGGAUCGUAAAACUCUGUUAUUAGGGAAGAACAAAUGUGUAAGUAACUAUGCACGUCUUGACGGUACCUAAUCAGAAAGCCACGGCUAACUACGU
rnacentral:rRNA from 1 species